GGCGUAAAGCGCAUGCAGGUGGCCUGUUAAGUCAGAUGUGAAAGCCCGGGGCUUAACCUCGGAAUUGCAUUUGA
rnacentral:rRNA from 1 species